UUCUGGCCCUGGCAGUGGGUUCGCAAUGGAGAACGCGAUCGGCGCUUGUCGGGCGAGGGCGAGCGGCUCCACCCAGGCGGCAGCGAUGCGGAUGGGGGAGCAGCGGGGUCUGCCCCGGCGGAGAGCCCUGCCCGGGCGGGGGCUGCCCCAUCGCCCGCGGCGGGAACUUCGCUCGGUGCCCUCGCAACUCGGAAACAUUAACGGGAAAAAAAAAAAAAUAAAUUAAGAAAUAAUAUUUUUUUUUAAAAGCACAGUAGAAACGAGGGAAAAUGGCCAUGCAUGCAUGAGAUGUGUGUAGCCUGUGGAUGAUCCUCCUGUGCCGCGUGUAACCAGGGAUGGUUUGAUGAGGAGCGGCUUGAGGCUCCUAAAUGAGAGGAGUGGUGAUGAGCAAGAGGCUCCUUAUUUAAAGAAGCAGUGAGCAGAGUAAGGGGAGAUAAGCGGGUGUGGAUAUGUGCAUUCCUCAGACAUCGCCUCUACUAGAAGAUGUGUUCUUCAGCUGCUGGCUGUCAGAUUUUUCAGGGAUGACUUGCCAGCUUUUGUCCCCUCUUCUCUGAGGUGCUACAUGCGGUCUGCUGUUGCCACUGCUCUUUCUAAGCAUUAGUUAAUAGUCCUCUCCAGAGGAUUUGUACCAGCUGAUACAUUUACAGUAUGAAAACCACAGGGGUAUCUAAUACAAGCAUCUCAUUUCCUGCAGGAAACAGAACAGUCAUACUGCAGGGCUUUUUUUUUAUGGUCUGAGCAGAGGGCUUAUUUGGCCUCUUAGCUGUGGUCAUAAAUCUCUGUUUUCUGUUAGCGUGAAAAUACUGAUUUGCUUUUGCAUUAGCUUCUUUGCCUGAUCUUAUAAAGUUAUGUGGUACAGAGUUUUGGUGCUUACCGAAGUGCAUUCCAGAUUUGGUGUCUUUACAUCCUUCUUUAUCAAACCCCAUUUCUGUUUCACUGGAUUCCUUCAUUCCUGUUGGUGGAUAAGGGGAGGAGAAAAUAGGAGAUGCAGCAGUGGACACAAGGUCUUCCUGGCAGAGUGAACCUGAAAAGCGUACCUUUGCUAGAGAGAGGAGGAAUACCUUUGUACAUCAACAUGGAGGAAAUGCACAGCAGAGGAGAAAUGGUGAAUGCAGUGACAGCAGAGCACCGUCACAGAACAAAUAAAGUUGAGCAACAGCGUUGGCGUGGGCUUUGUGUUUCUUUUUUUAAACACAAGUUUGUAAAUAAUAGCCUCAUUUUGGCUUGUCCUUGUAUGUCUCGUACAUUUACUGGGGCAAGUUUAGAGGAUAUUAUUGAAAGUUUAGAGAAAAAUACAGCAUAUAUUUUAAGGAGCUACUAUUAG
rnacentral:lncRNA from 1 species